GUAAUAAUAUUUUAUUGUAGCUUUUCUAAGCUCUAAAGAAUGAAGUUAGGAGAUCCGUUGGUGCUCUUAAUUAGGAAUCUGGGAGAGAUGUCUUAAAGGCUGUGUCACCUGGAUAGUCCACGGAAAGGAAAACUCAUGAUCUUUAUGGAAGAGCUAUGUAUAAUAAUGAAAUACUGCUUAGUAUGUGCUAAGCCCAUCAUAAGCCUUAUUUUGCUAAUUCUUUCCAGCAAUCCCACAGAGUAUUGAUGAGGAAACUGAAGUUUGGAGCGAUCACAUCAUUUUCCCAAGAAUUCCUAGAGGACCUGUGCAACAACCUCUUGAGGAUCGAAUCUUCACUCCCGCUGUCUCAGCAGUCUACAGCACGUCACUGAAUGUAUAUCAGUAAUCUCCAGACUCGCAUACAACCUUGUCUUGGUGGAAAGCUCUGACUAUGGAUUUUGAACAUAAGAAAGAGAAUGUGAGUGUCUGUUAAAAGCCAUCACUCCUCAGAUGAUGUUAAAAGUCUUCACUCCACAUCUUCUGAGGAGUUGUCAAGUGUUCCUGCUUCUGACCACAAGGACAGCAAUUGGCCUGUAAUAUAUGUAUUCCUUGAAAAAACAGUCAUUCCUAACUGAUCAAGGUUUUGCUGUUGAACUGGGAAAGGACCUUGGAAUCAUAAUAUAGUGCUACACGAUUCUAUUAGCAGUGAAAGAAAUAAAAAUGUUUUUACUA
rnacentral:lncRNA from 10 species